CGUGAGAUGUUGGGUUAAGUCCCGCAACGAGCGCAACCCCUAUCAACAGUUGCCAUCAUUAAGUUGGGAACUCUGUUGAGACUGCCGUUGAUAAAACGGAGGAAGGUGGGGAUGAUGUCAAGUCAUCAUGGCCUUUAUGUUCAGGGCUACACACGUGCUACAAUGGACGGUACAAAACGUCGCGAUCCUGCAAGGGGGAGCUAAUCGCAAAAACCGUUCUCAGUUCGGAUUGAAGUCUGCAACUCGACUUCA
rnacentral:rRNA from 1 species